UACGUAGGGGGCAAGCGUUGUCCGGAUUUAUUGGGCGUAAAGAGCAGUGUAGGCGGCCUUACAGGUCAGCUGUGAAAACUCGAGGCUCAACCUCGAGACGUCGGUUGAAACCGUAAGGCUAGAGUCCGGAAGAGGAGACUGGAAUUUCCGGUGUAGCGGUGAAAUGCGUAGAUAUCGGGAGGAACACCAGUGGCGAAGGCGGCUUCUUGGGCCGAGAUUGACGCUGAGGCGGCGAAAGCUGGGGGAGCGAACGGG
rnacentral:rRNA from 1 species